GGGGGUAUAGCUCAGUGGUAGAGCAUUCGAACUGCAGAUCGAGAGGUCCGUGGUUCAACUCCGCGUGCCCCUA
rnacentral:tRNA from 1 species